AUAAGGCCAUUUUUUGAAAAAUAUCCACACAAUGUUGGAAAAAAUACAGAAUUUUCCAAUUCCCGCCUCUCCAGACUAUUUUUUUCCACACCUUUAUCUCAGCUGACUAAUCUCCAGGCCACUAAUCUCCAGGCCACACUACCGACCGUAGGCGACCUCAUAAAUCAAGUGGACUGAAACUGGUCCUAUGAACACAUGCCAAUGACACAGCCAGGC